rnacentral:rRNA from 1 species
UACAGAGGUCUCAAGCGUUGUUCGGAUUCAUUGGGCGUAAAGGGUGCGUAGGUGGCGGGGCAAGUCAGGUGUGAAAUCUCGGAGCUCAACUCCGAAACUGCACUUGAUACUGCCUUGCUAGAGUACUGGAGAGGAGAUUGGAAUUUACGGUGUAGCAGUGAAAUGCGUAGAUAUCGUAAGGAAGACCAGUGGCGAAGGCGAAUCUCUGGACAGUUACUGACACUGAGGCACGAAGGCCAGGGGAGCAAACGGG